rnacentral:lncRNA from 1 species
CCAUGAAAAUGUUGGAGUAGAAAAGCAUGUCGGAUGGUAUCCCUAUAGAGGCUCGGAAGCUCUUGAAGUGGUUGUAGUAGUAUGGCAACAAAAAUUAUAAAUGUACAUUAAAUGUGGAAAGUAAGCACAUACAACAUUUUCAAAAUUAUAAAGACUUUUGAAACUUGUGGCAUCAAACAUGCCAUCACAUCUGUGUGGCUACAAAAGCAUAUCAUUUAAAGUAAAAUAGGAUGCCUAAAGUAAAUCGUUUCCAAAUAUAGAAAGAAAGGUGUUAUUUUUCAAAUAGACUAAAAUGAAAAUGAUAUCAGAUAAAAUGGAAUAAAGAGAGUAAGAACAAAGAAGAUUUUCAAAGUUUUGCAAACUGUCAUGGUAUCAAACUUAUGAGUCGUACAAGAAAAAAGCAAAGAUAAAGAGACAAUACGAAGGGUGACAGAUGGAUAGUUUUGAUAUUGGCUGUAGAUCCACAAGAAACUAAAUUUUUGCUAUAAAGAUAGAUGAAAACUUAUAGAGAAAGAAAGAAGGAUCUUCAAAUGGUAUUAGCAUCAAGAAAUAGUUUGUCAAUGGAUGCUUGAGAAGAAAGAAAUUCAUAUCAAAUAUAUAAUUUCAUAAAACACAUGUACAAAAGAGCAGUCACAAGUGAAGGAUCAAUAUAAGGAGAUAUUAAGGAGUUUGCCAUUACUGUAGGUGUAUACUAGGGACUUGGCUCAAAUCUAUACUUGUUACCUAAAUAGGGUGAGGUAACCAAUAAUAUGAACGAUAAGAUUCCACGGUGAAAUGCUAUUUUCAUAUGAGAUUGAGUCAACGGAAGAAACUGGUGAGAAACUCAACCAAAAGUUGGAAUUGUCGAGAAGCACUUUGAGGAGAAAGGUUCUUAGGACAACGAAAAGUAAGACAUAGGUGUAGGUUCUUUUCAUUUGGUACAAGGUUCUUAGGACCUAAGUUGCACGGACUCUUCACUUUCGUUGCCGCACCCGUCUCGGAUUCUCCAAAAAUACACUAGUUUUGGAGAAUCCAACACGCACAUGCUGACAUUUUUGAAGAGUCCGAGCAACAUAGCUUAGGACAACUAAAAGUAAGACAUAGGCGUAGGUUCUUUUCAUUGGUACAAGGUUCUUAGGACCUAAGUUGCACGGACGUCUUCGACUUUCGUUGCCGGCACCCGGUCUCGGAUUCUCCAAAAAUACACUACUUUUUGGAGAAUCCAACACGCACAUGCUGACAUUUUUUGAAGAGUCCGAGCAACAUAGCUUAGGACAACUAAAAGUAAGACAUAGGUGUAGGUUCUUUUCAUUUGGUAUACGGCUUGUAUACGGGGUUCUCCCAAUCAAGUUAUUUACUUUAUCAAAAAAAUCUAAAAGUAAUAUGCCGCAAGUUUAGCUCCCCAUAAGAAUAACAAAGGUAUAGUGAAAUUAAACAGGAUUAUGAUGCAUAUUUGUAUACAAUUCAAAUAUAUAAGCUCAGCCUUCCAAGAGAAUAGCAUGAUAGAAAAGAUGUAACACACGAAUUAGAAGAUGAUAGCUAAAACAGACAAGUGCUUACUUAGGGAGCAUGGGAUGAAAAAAUACCCAACAGUGUAAAAGGUACUGUCUACAUAACAGUUGUAAGAUCAGAAAUAUUAGCACUCAAUGCAUCCACAAGAUGAAUAUCGUACAAUGCCUAUGUUAAGAUGGAUGUUGUCACAAAAGAUUGGACAAGAUUAGAAAUGAUUACAUCAAACAAAGGGUUCUAGCACACACACAAAGGGUAAAAUGUGAGAAUGCAACAUGAGGCGGUUUGGCCGUGUCCUAUGUAAGCCUCCACAAGUACCGGCUCAUAGGUGUGACACUGAUGAACGAAGAUGGUAAAAGAUGUGGUAGGCCUAUAAUGAAAAUCACACCGAGAAAGUGUCUCACAGACCUAUAAUCUUUUCAAAAUUGCCGACUUAGAUAAGAACAUAAUAUAGUGGAUUCAAAUGAUCCGUAUAUAUAAUACCAACUAGUUGGGACAACACUUAAUUGUCAUUGUUACACUAAUGCUACGUCUGGAGAUGCCAAAGUUAGAAACUUGUGCAUCUGUUAGU